GGAUCCGCGCUGCUGCCUGGAAGCUUCUGCCGGUGCCGGGGACGCAGCGGUGCCGGGGACACAGAGGAGCCGACCUGGGGGUGACACAGCCCACCGGGGCCAGCCGGAGCAGCACCCAGAGCCCGCCUUCCGCAGUACAAGCAGUCCCCGGGUCGGGUGGGAGGAGGGGCCUCCGGGACGAAGAACAUGGCGGCGGCGGACCUCGCUCACAUUCCUGAUGUGGACAUCGACUCCGACGGCGUCUUCAAGUAUGUGCUGAUCCGAGUCCACUCGGCUCCGCGCUCCGGGGCUCCGGCUGCGGAGAGCAAGGAGAUCGUGCGCGGCUACAAGUGGGCCGAGUACCAUGCGGACAUCUACGACAAAGUGUCGGGCGACAUGCAGAAGCAGGGCUGUGACUGUGAGUGUCUGGGCGGCGGGCGCAUCUCCCACCAGAGCCAGGACAAGAAGAUUCACGUGUACGGCUACUCCAUGAGGCAGUCAGUACCUGGGUGGAGUUCAGAGUCCCCGCCCGUGCUCUUCACAAAAACCACCAGCAGAUGAGAGCCACGUGCGUCCCUCUGGGUGCCUCAAGCCCCAGGAUCCACCCUCAAGGCCUAUGGUCCUGCCCAGCACGCCAUUUCAACUGAGAAAAUCAAAGCCAAGUACCCCGACUACGAGGUUACCUGGGCUAACGAUGGCUACUGAGCACUCCCAGCCUGGGGCCUGCUACCUCCAGCAGCCAUGUCGGAGCCCCCGCCUUUGCCUGCACCCCUUUUGGGGUUGGCCGUGCCUGCUUCUGCAGCAGCCCCUGGUAAUGUGCUGUCUGCCAGGCUUUGUAGACAGGCUAGCUUGGCCACAGAAUUAAACAUGUUGCCACGCC